rnacentral:rRNA from 1 species
GCUGGCAGCUAGCUCUCUGCAACUCUCACAUGGUCGCCCACUGAGGCUAAGCAGGGCUGUGCCUGGUCAGUACCUGGAUGGGAGACCACAUGGGAAAGCAAGGUUAAUGCUGGAA